AACAUGUUAAAAAUAGCAAUAUAAAAAAGUGUAUAUACAACAAAUAAGCAGUUUAAUGUUGUGCAAAAUAAAUAAAAUGGAAUGUAAGGUGCAGUGAACCGUGUGUGUAAAAACAUAUAAAGUGACUAAUAACUGUAUGCUAUGACCACAGUUUAGCUGUCCACUCUUUUUCUUUUCUGUACUGUGUACAGCUGCAAGUACUUGUUUUCUGUGUAUUUAUUCUUUUUGAAUGCACAUCCUUCCCUUAUCCUUGCUUGUGUUGCACCCUCUAUAUCCUGUUUGCUGCUGUAAUACUGUAAUUUCCCACUUAUGGGACUAAUAAAGGAUUAUCUUAUCGUACAGUGUGAUGGUAUGUGGCAAGAAAGAUUACCUGUAUCAGUCCCUUUGACAGUGGAGCUGUAGCAGCCUAUGGGAGAAGGUGCUCCGCUGUCUGUCUACUGUGUGAUGGUCAUUAUCCAUGAUGGACAACAGUUUGUUCAGCGACCUCAUCUCCACCACGGUCUCAAAAGACUCCAGCCUAAGCCCAAGCACAGAUCCAGACUUCUUGAGAUGAUCUUAUCAAGUCUAUUAGCGUCGCUGGCUCUGAUGCUGCUGCUCCAACACACAACAGCAGAAAAAAAUGGCGCUGACAGCAACAGACUGGUAGAAGAUCUCCAACAUCUUGUUGCACACGUUGAAGGAUCUCAGCUUCCUCGGGAACUGAGUCUGCUCAUCCCCUUCUUGUACACAGUCUAUGCUUUUUGUUGUGAAAACGACAUUGUACUUUUUAUUUAAAUAUCUUGCCGUGUUGUGUUUUUAUUGUUAUUUAGUUAUUAAUUUGUUAAUGUCAGCUUGGUCUCUUCUGUCUUAUGAUGAAAAAGAAAAUCAAAAAACAUCAUGCUAAUACUUUGAGAGUGGAGUGUGUGUGCAGACAGAGCAGGAUGAAAAGGGAGCUGAGAGUCAGAUGAUGGAGGGAACUUGGUGAUGGGAGCAGCCAUGGAGGACAGUCUUCUGACUGAAGAGGGAGCAAGCUGCCAUGUGAGGUACAGGAGGUGAACCCUCUGUCCGUUUCGUCUCGUUCUCUCAACCCAUCCGGUCCAGGCAGAUGGCCACCCACCUGGAGCCAGUGUCAGCUUUGAGGUUUCUCCCUGCUAAAAGGAUUCUUGGAGAACUUCAGUGUGGAGAAAUUCUGCAGAUUCUGUUCAGCCAGCAGAAGUGACAUUCAGGAGCAUGAUGAAGUGGGUCCUGCUCUCUUUCCUCUGACGUUCCCUCAUCCUUAGCCUCAUCGCCAGCCUUACGGGAGCAGAAGCUGUCCGAGUUGCGGUCUGCAGUUUCAUCCUGCGACGCAAGUCUUUGACUGCUUUUCUCCUCAUCCUCGUCUUCUUCCUCUGACACUCCCUCAUCUUCAUCACUGUCCUCACUGUCCCAGUCGUUGUCUGAGUCGCUGUCUGCAAAUUCAUCCCACCAUCUGAAUCGUCGACUGCUUCUCUCCUCUUCCUCAUCAUCUUCUUCACGAGGUCGCCGCCUGGAUCCACUGGGCUGCGGUUGUUCUUGUGGAGCAGCCUGUGGAGCAAGGUGAGCCUCGUCGGCAGCCACGUUGUUGUCCUGCUGGAAGACCGGUCCAGGAUCUUCAGAUGGCGCCUCCUGAGGUGCUCUCGAAGACUCCCGCUGAUGUGACUUCAAGGACUCUGUGCAGGUCUUCCUCAAAGCUGAGCCACUCCUACGUGUCAGACGUCUUUGGCCACUUUAUCCUCUCCUUCACGGGUUCAGGCUGUGACAUCUGUGGAAAUGCUCCCUUGGGAUGUAGGUGACAAAGGUGCUGAGAAAUCCCCAGGGCUAUGGGGUGCUUCCUGGUUGGGGAUUUCCUGCGUCUCACCGGGUUCUAGACCUGUGUCUGCAACAGGGGCAUUUUACCUCUGGUGCCUUCCCAGUUGUGGUGGUUUGGAUGAGCCUUCUCCGUGUCCUGGUUCCUGUCCUGGCCAUAACCUCUCGGGAGACUCUGGGGGUGUUGCUUGUGUGGUACUUUAGUAGCUUGCUUGGUGUCCUCUUGCGAGUGCUGUGUAUGGGGUUGCUGGCCCCACACACCCACACCAGUCUUUCCUGGAGGUCAGCUGUUUUUCCAGCGUCACCCUUGUUUCUCGGUCGUCAUCGGUUUGGUGAUUUUCAUACAUCGGAGACAUCAUUUUAAAACAAUGAAAAUAAAUCGAAAAUCAAGAAAUCAUAAUUAAAAACUUAUUAAAUUGCAGAAUCAAGAUAAAAGAUAAAACAAAUGGAUGUUUUUUAUUAAUUGUAGUGUCUCUGCAAAACAGCUGGAAUCAUACAUACAUACUGUACAGAGGUAAGUUCAUAUGGUGCUUAAGUAUGUUAUUGUGAUAGUUUGUUCUGUAUGUCAGGUUAUUCUGUGUGUUUAUGUACUUACAUCAGUGUUAUUGUAUGUAUGUUGUGUUGUAUGUAGGGAAGUGUG